GUAGACCGGUUCUCCUCUGGAGCACAUGGCCAGCAGCUGGAUCAGCUUCGGGUGAUGGAGGCUCUUCAACGCCUGGACCUCCUUCACAAACUCGUCCUGCUUCGUGUCCUCUGGAGGAGCAGAAACAGAAUUAUUGAUCAGCUAAAAAUGAUGACAGCGACUGUUCACUGUGGAGGCAAGAGGAUAUCUUUAUGAACCAGAAGAUACUGAAAGGGCUGAGGGGAUGUAGUGCCAAAGGAAAGGUCUGUCUGACAGCAAGGUUUGACACACAUGCAGACAGGUUUCCUUUCUGGUGAUGCAUCGAUCAGCAGCAAGUGUGUGCAUUUAUGUUUAAUGUAGUUGUCUGUGUGAUGAAAGGAUGUGUGUGUGUGUGUGUGUGUGUGUGUGUGUGUGUGUGUGUGUGUGUGUGUGUGUGUGUGUGUGUGUGUGUGUGUGUGUGUGUGUUUCUGCCUCAGUGUGUCCGUGGCCUCAGACUCACAGCUUCCUCUGGAAGGGAAGAGAGAAGAGGGAGGAAUCACUGAGUGGCCUCUGAUGGAGAAGAAGUACUGACUUUAUGUCUUUAAACACACUUUGUUUUAUUAUUUGUGGGGAAAAGCUGCAACUUGAUCUCGUCUUUAAUAUCUGUAAUAUUCCUUUAUCAUUAUUUAAUUGUAAUGUGAAGAAUGGGCACGCUGCUGUUUAAAUAGUCGGGUUCACAUUGCAGUGAAAAGUCUCCAGAUACUGAGAGAACCUCAGCGAGCUGUGCCCUGUCGUCUCCCGCUGGGCUCAAACUGAUGAGCCAUGAAUAAAGAAUAGAGCUCGCUGGGGGUUUAAUUUAAGCUGCAGUGCAGAGAUAGCGCGUGUAAUUACAGCACUGCCUCAUGGUUUUAUUCUAAAACUGUUCCAAAUAUUUUAUUCUCUCCUUAAUUACACUCCAAACAUGUUUGUCUCUCGGUAUUAAUUCAUGCACAUAAAGAAUAAGACAGCACUCAUUAAAUUCUGCUGCAGUGCAACAAUAGAAAGAUUAAUUCAAAAUCUUUGUCGCACUUUGUUUCAGAUUCUUACUGCAAAGACAAAAGCUGCUCAGAUUAAAAAAAAAGAUACUGAAACAUUCUGGAUUUAAAGUGGACCUUUUGCUGCCUGGAAUUUAACUUGCAUUAUCAGCAUCAAUGGGAACUGUUAUGAGUCAUUAGUAGCUGCUGGUGUUCAUUUAGAAAUACUACAAAAGCAAAUUUAUGUUAGCUGAAGGGCAGAUCCAGUUGAAUAGAUUUUUUUUCACACAACUUCAGCUAUUGGUAAGGAGCAGAGAGAAUUACUGUAUAAUGGAGUAUUAAUACGCAGGCCUUUGUUUUGCAUGUGUACAGUAACUGUCGACAUUAUUGAAAAGUUAAAUAUACAAGUAUCCCUUAAAAUGAUUAUCUGUGAAAUUGCUCCGCCUGUUGUCCUGUUUAUGGAUAUUUGAAGUAGUGACCAUUUUUAUGUGAAACAUAAGGAGCUUUCAGUUCUUGUUGAUUCUGGCGACCCCUGAGGACAAACGCGGUAGUGUUCCCACCAUCUCAUUUUGUUGAUUUAAAAAGGGGAAUCCAACCCAGUGGCAGGCAUCAAGAAUAACUAUACAGAAUCUUAUCACUGAUGGUUUGUUAAUGUAGGUCAUAGAGGCAUCAGUAUUGAACGGAGAUCGCUGUGAGUCACCGUCAGCUGGCUAAAAAAAACUGGAGGCUAUAUAAAAGGUUGCUGUUGCUCUUAAAACACUAUUGGUGAGUCAAAUUUCUUAAAACUGCUUUGUAACCACAGUUCAAGGUGUUUGAGGAUGUCAGAGUCCAAGUGAGUGAGUAGUCAUGACAGACUAAACAUUACAAAACCUGUAGGACUGUAUGCCGUCGAGUUAGACAGCUUUUUCAAGUCGAGCCAUGUGAGGAUAUUCAGUUAUACCGAUAAUGGAAAUUCACCCCCAUGAAAUGUGUUUUUAUCGUGAUACGUGAUAAUAUUGUACAUCUUCCCAUCCCUUGUCCAGACUCACAAAGAUUUCAUAUUUGAAAUUUAACUUGGUUCUCACUGAAGAGUUAUUUGUUUGUCGUUUUUUAUGGUAACAUUAAUAACCCUUUCAUGUUCACGUUCCAUGAUGUUCAGCUGAGCCUCUGUUACAGGUAAAUACUGGCUCACUCAUUUAGAACUGGAAACACAUUUAAUGUAAUUAACAGAUAAAAUAACUGAUUUAUGUAUUUGUCAGCAAAUAUAACUCCUCCUAUGAAGAUCUGUAAGUGUAUAAACAGAUAAUUAUAAUGAAGUAAAACACAGUUGUACUGAUUUAAGAAGUUAUAACUGUUGACAAAUACUGUACCUUUAAAAAAAAAACUAUAGCUGCUUACAACUCCAUUAUAGGUAUGUUAUAAACCAUUUAUUAAACAUGUAGAGUUCUUAAUGCUAAAGUUAAAACUCUGCAAAUACAGUUCCAAAAUUAACCAAAACACAAAAAAUAUGAUAAAUUAAACAGAGCCACAGCCUUAAAUGAUGAGCUCUAAAGUAUCCUGAUAGAAGAAUAUAAUGUGUAUAAUUUUCCAUUUUAACUGCAUCAUGGCUUACAUGAAGAACAGUAAAAUGUCUAUUUUAGCUUCUGUGAUUUUGUUACUAUUUGGUAAAAUACUGCAUGUGUUUAUUAAAAUUGUGUAUUAUAUAUUUCUACUGAAUCAUAUUUCAGAUGUUGUAUAUUCAUGUCACUUUUGGGGCAUCAAAUGUGGUCACAAUGGGUCAAAAUUGCUUGCAAGUGCUUAUUGUGCUGCUGUCACUUAAUUUCUCAAUUCUGACAAACUCUUGCCCUAUAAAUGUCAUAUACGUAUAAUGCAUGUAUUGUAAAGACAGUUCUGAAGAUUUUAUAGUAGGUGUGUACUGAUUACAACAAAGACAAUUAAAAACUGAUGAUACAUGUCUGUCAUAUGUGCUCUUGUACUUCUAUCCUUGUGUGGACCAACUCCAUUUUUAGACCUUUAAACUGACACUUUUGGAAAGUGAGGAGAUUGUAUUCGACCAAUAACAAUAAUAAAAAGGUCUCCAGUUGUGAUGAACCUACAGAGAAUCAUCAGUUGAAUCUGCAGCUCCCCUCGGCUUUACAGAGCUUUUUAGUGAGUUUCGGCUCAUUAAAAUCUCUCCGGCUGCAACUUUAACUGUUUUGGUUAAUUUUCGCUCCUCUCUCAGCGUUGUUUUCAGAGAAAAAGCCCACAGUACACUACCAGCUCAGCAGCAAACAGCAGACAGACACAGUAGCUGGGGAACAAAGUGGAGCAUUUUGCAGCCAAAUAGCCAAUAUUUCCCUCAGGAGUUGGUAGAGACUAAACGUUGAGCCAAAAGAGAAUGAAUAUUGGACUUUAUUCAUCUUAUGGCACAAACACAACUCCAAGUUUUUUAUAUAUAAGAUAAUGUUUCUCUGUAACUGCUGCAUGUGGAAAUAAGCAACUGGUGACAAGUUCAACAUAUUAAUCUAAACUUGUUUCUGCUGCCCCGAGUGGUCAAAAUAUGCAUUCUUUUUUUGAGGUUUUUUGGUCACUUAGGUGCACAUUGAAAUGAUCAACUUUUAAAGUUGGUAAUGGUGAACUUGUUAGCAAACAGUUGCUUAUUUACACAUCCGCCAGACAGUUAACAACAUUAACAUUCAGUUAAACUUGUGUUUCUGGCUACCUCACAGGUCUCUUUUUAGCUCUCUUUUGUGCUCCACCCCACUCCUGACGGAAACACCUGGAUCUUCAACGUUGACUUUAUUGUCUCCCAGGGGAGGUUUUUUGCUAAAUGCUCCACUAUAUUCACCAGCUAGUCUCUAACUCUGUCUGUUUGGCGCUGGGCAGGUAACGUACAGCGAGUUUAGGCCGUUUUAGUGCCUGCUGCUGGAGACGAGGUUAAUGAGAAAGACUCUGUAGAUCUCAGGGGGACCGCAAGUCUGGUGAUAAAUCAUAUGAGAAACCCUAAUCCAUAUUACACAUUCCUUUGUGCCAUUGUUGAUAUAAAAUAUUGAUUAGUGCAGCUUUAUGGCUAGAAUGCCUUGUUUAUGUCAAUAGGGGUCCUCACAAGAAUAGAAGUAAAAACAAUCAGUGUUUUUGUGCCUCUCUCUGUGUCCUACCUGCUGGGCGCAGGGCUCCUCCAGCAGCACUCCCAGGCUGCGAGGGUUUUUCUGGUAGUAGGAGAUGAGCUCCCCAAGCGUAGCGAACGAGAGCUUAUCUGACACGAAGUACGCGCCGAUGGUGGAGCGCUGGAUCCGGAAGUGGUACACCUUCCCCUCACUCCGGGCUGUGAGAGAGGAAGAGGAGUCACUGUGGUCACAUAUCAUAUGUUUAAUACACAGUUCAAAUUGAUUAUUUUACCAUCAGAAUCUGAAAGUGUGUGUGCGUGUGAGAGAGUGUGAGAGAGAAACUUUUGUGCAGAAAAAGGACAGCAGGGAAAAUAUAUUAGUAGUUUUGUUAAGUAGAUCAGUGGAAACAUGCAGAAUGAGAGUAGAUAUCUAAAUAUAACUUCUUUCAAGAGCCUUUCAGUGAUUAUAUUUAAAUCUAGUUCAGACUUUCUACAACCAAAACAUCUAAUGAAAAAAGAUCUAAAUAUUUGCACACUUGGUCUCCAUCGCGAACAUCUAAUUUAUUAUCUAAGAUUGCUCUGAUGAAGGUCUUUGUGAAUCAAAGCUUAGAUAAUAUACUGUCUGUCUGCAAUGGAGUCUACAUUUUCAUUUGCUGUGUUUUGCAUCCAGCACUUUCUUGUUUUGUGCAGUAAUUUCAGUAUAAAUAUCUAGAAACAUAUGCCUUUGUUGCACUCGUCUUAGUUUAACCUAUUUCUGUAUCAAGUGCAUGACAAUAUUUGUGCAACUAGAUAGUGUCCAGGUUCCUUUUCUGUUAUUCUCUCGCUAAUGUUUUCUUUUUUUAUUAUAUUUCUCUUUUUAGUUACUUGUAUGUUCACUUUUAAAGAAAGAACUGUCAAUGUACAGUAAGACCAAUAUGUAAACUAAUACAGAAACACAUUCAUCAUAAAGACCAGCCACUCUCAAUACAUACAAUAGAGAGAAACACGAGCAUCGAGAGCAUCUUUCAACAACAAUGUAAUUCAAAGUGCUGUAUGAAAAGACAAUUAAACACAAUGGGAAGUCGA